GCAACGAGCGCAACCCUUAUCCUUUGUUGACAGCGGUCCGGCCGGGAACUCAAAGGAGACUGCCAGUGAUAAACUGGAGGAAGGUGGGGAUGACGUCAAGUCAUCAUGGCACUUACGACCAGGGCUACACACGUGAUACAAUGGCAUAUACAAAGAGAAGCGACCUCGCGAGAGCAAGCGGACCUCAUAAAGUAUGUCGUAGUCCGGAUUGGAGUCUGCAACUCGACUCCAUGAAGUCGGAAUCGCUAGUAAUCGUAGAUCAGAAUGCUACGGUGAAUACGUUCCCGGGCCUUGUACACACCGCCCGUCACACCAUGGGAGUGGGUUGCAAAAGAAGUAGGUAGCUUAACCUUCGGGAGGGCGCUUACCACUUUGUGAUUCAUGACUGGGGUGAAGUCGUAACAAGGUAACCGUAGGGGAACCUGCGGUUGGAUCACCUCCUUACCUUAAAGAA
rnacentral:rRNA from 1 species